GACGAACGCUGGCGGCGUGCUUAACACAUGCAAGUCGAACGGAAAGGCCCUGCUUUUGUGGGAUGCUCGAGUGGCGAACGGGUGAGUAACACGUGAGUAACCUGCCCUUGACUUUGGGAUAACUUCAGGAAACUGGGGCUAAUACCGGAUAGGAGCUCCUGCUGCAUGGUGGGGGUUGGAAAGUUUCGGCGGUUGGGGAUGGACUCGCGGCUUAUCAGCUUGUUGGUGGGGUAGUGGCUUACCAAGGCUUUGACGGGUAGCCGGCCUGAGAGGGUGACCGGCCACAUUGGGACUGAGAUACGGCCCAGACUCCUACGGGAGGCAGUAGUGGGGAAUAUUGCACAAUGGGCGGAAGCCUGAUGCAGCAACGCCGCGUGCGGGAUGACGGCCUUCGGGUUGUAAACCGCUUUCGCCUGUGACGAAGCGUGAGUGACGGUAAUGGGUAAAGAAGCACCGGCUAACUACGUG
rnacentral:rRNA from 1 species